AGUGAACGCUGGCGGUAGGCCUAACACAUGCAAGUCGAACGGCAGCACAGGAGAGCUUGCUCUCUGGGUGGCGAGUGGCGGACGGGUGAGGAAUACAUCGGAAUCUGCCCAGUCGUGGGGGAUAACGUAGGGAAACUUACGCUAAUACCGCAUACGACCUUCGGGUGAAAGAGGGGGAUCGCAAGACCUCUCGCGAUUGGAUGAGCCGAUGUCGGAUUAGCUAGUUGGCGGGGUAAUGGCCCACCAAGGCGACGAUCCGUAGCUGGUCUGAGAGGAUGAUCAGCCACACUGGAACUGAGACACGGUCCAGACUCCUACGGGAGGCAGCAGUGGGGAAUAUUGGACAAUGGGCGCAAGCCUAAUCCAGCCAUACCGCGUGGGUGAAGAAGGCCUUCGGGUUGUAAAGCCCUUUUGUUGGGAAAGAAAUCUUUCAGGCUAAUACCCUGGGAGGAUGACGGUACCCAAAGAAUAAGCACCGGCUAACUUCGUG
rnacentral:rRNA from 1 species